GACGAACGCUGGCGGCGUGCUUAACACAUGCAAGUCGAACGAUGAUGCCCAGCUUGCUGGGUGGAUUAGUGGCGAACGGGUGAGUAACACGUGAGUAACCUGCCCCUGACUCUGGGAUAAGCGUUGGAAACGACGUCUAAUACUGGAUAUGACUACUGGUCGCAUGGCCUGGUGGUGGAAAGAUUUUUUGGUUGGGGAUGGACUCGCGGCCUAUCAGCUUGUUGGUGAGGUAAUGGCUCACCAAGGCGACGACGGGUAGCCGGCCUGAGUGGGCGACCGGCCACGCUGGGACUGAGACACGGCCCAGACUCCUACGGGAGGCAGCAGUGGGGAAUAUUGCACAAUGGGCGAAAGCCUGAUGCAGCGACGCCGCGUGAGGGAUGACGGCCUUCGGGUUGUAAACCUCUUUUAGUAGGGAAGAAGCGAAAGUGACGGUACCUGCAGAAAAAGCACCGGCUAACUACGUGCCAGCCGCCGCAGUAA
rnacentral:rRNA from 1 species